rnacentral:rRNA from 1 species
UACGUAGGGUGCGAGCGUUGUCCGGAAUUACUGGGCGUAAAGCGUGCGCAGGCGGUUUUGUAAGUCAGAUGUGAAAGCCCCGGGCUUAACCUGGGAAUGGCAUUUGGGACUGCAAGGCUGGAGUACGGCAGAGGGAGGUGGAAUUCCAGGUGUAGCAGUGAAAUGCGUAGAUAUCUGGAGGAACACCGAUGGCGAAGGCAGCCUCCUGGGCUAGUACUGACGCUCAUGCACGAAAGCGUGGGGAGCAAACAGG